GACGAACGCUGGCGGCGUGCUUCAUACAUGCAAGUCGAACGAGAAGCUGACUUCGGUCAGUGGAAAGUGGCGGACGGGCGGGUAAUAUGUAGGAAAUUUGCCUUUAGGAGGGGGACAACAGAGUGAAACUUCUGCUAAUACCCCAUAUGAGCGUACCCGUAAUGCUAUUCUUGAAACCUCCGGUGACGAAGGAUGAGCCUGCAUCUGAGUAGCUAGUUGGUAUUGUAAUGGACUAGCAAGGGGACGAUCAGUAGCUGGUUUGGGAGGAUGACCAGACACAAAGGGAGAGAGGCACGGCACAUAUUCCUGCGGGAGGAAGCAGUAGGGAAGUUUGCGCAACGGGCGAAAGCCUGAGGCAGCAACGGCGCGUGAACGAGGAAGCCCUUUGGGAUGUAAAGUUCUGUCAGUGGGGACGAAGCUUGACGGUACCCACAGAGGAAGCACCGGCUAACUCCGUG
rnacentral:rRNA from 1 species